CCUGUUUAUCUUAGUGGCGGACGGGUGAGUAACGCGUGGGUAACCUGCCCUGUACAGGGGGAUAACACUUAGAAAUAGGUGCUAAAACCGCAUAAGCGCACAGUACCGCAUGGUACAGUGUGAAAAACUCCGGUGGUACAGGAUGGACCCGCGUCUGAUUAGCUGGUUGGAGGGGUAACGGCCCACCAAGGCGACGAUCAGUAGCCGGCCUGAGAGGGUGAACGGCCACAUUGGGACUGAGACACGGCCCAAACUCCUACGGAAGGCAGCAG
rnacentral:rRNA from 1 species